ACUUGGUAUAAGCAGUGGCGCACUCUGUCGUACCGUACUGUGUCGACAACCUAAGUUGAAAUUUUAGUAUUAUACUAAUAGGCACACCGUCAUUGUAAUCAUCUUAUCGAAACUGACUGUCGCUACGUACGGCAGGCAGCACCAGUUGGUUUCACCUACUUGGCUUCAGGCCCAACAAAAAUCUAUUGAUGUAGUCAGUGAGUUCAGACUGGUAGAGGAUUUGGAAGUUGUGCUCGUAUAAAUCUCAUUCGUUGCUUGCAGAAAUUUUUCAAGGAUUUACUUCGUAAUACACGGCGUAUGCUGAGCCUCUUAGUGGACAUUCAAGUGUUUACCAAUGUCUUACGAUAAUCGUAUAUCUCCGGCGCUUUUCAGCCGCUGUUAACCUAAAAAAGCGUUUUGCAUAUGUUUUUACCAAUUACCAAACAACAAAAGACCGAACGACUAAUUUUGUACUCAUCGUACUGCAACGAACUGACCGCUCGGACGGUCGACCAGUCUAACAACAAAAACGAAUCGCGACUCAACCCAUAUCAGUGACGCUUGAACUUUUCUUGACGUUUGUUCUAUUUGUUUGUCUGUUCGGCAGCGCGCUGAUCUUCUGAAUGGGUUGAGGGCUUAGAAAGGGGUGGCAGCAUAUGACAGAAAACACUAAGUCGCCAACAGCCGAUCUGGAACGAAGAUAAAACAUUCCAGCACCACCGGUAACUGAAUAACAUCUCUGUUAUCGCUUGGAGCCGUCUGCUUCAAUAAUUAAUCCGGAUUGUCAUAAAGGGCGAAACCGAUUCGAGGAGCGAGUGAAGACGCAGCAUUUCCAGCAAACGCGCAAGAACCACGGGGCUUCUUUUCUGUACCCAUCCAGCCUGACGUCCGCUUAACCGUAUCCUGGAAUGAUGGGUUUGGAAGUAAAAUAAGGCUACAGCCUUCAGUCUCGACUCUAAACCUAAAGAGAAACCCGGACGGCCCUGUGGAGUCGACGCAAUGGUCCGACCAAACGAACAGACGGAAAACUCUCUACCACCGUAUAUGGAGUGUCGACGGAUCCGUCAACGUCGCGUCACGUCGUUGGCCAGCCAGUCACAAGAGAACGUUGUUUACCAUGCACCGAUUCCAUAUAUGUAUGGAUAUGGUGCACAAAACGAGGGAGGCCACCAUUCGCAUCGCGAGGUGAGUGAUGGACUGCGAGCACGAGGAUCGUUCACGCAAACGCUCUCCGAUGGACGAACCAGAACCAUCGAGUACAUUGCUGAUGAGAAAGGCUUUCGGGUACUAGCUAUGAGGGAUGUUUACCACGACCCGAACGCUAUCCCGUCUCCGAAGCCAACGGUCAAGCCAAUUAAGGACGAAGCCAUACCGCGAUGGAAUCCCGUGCGCAGGAAACCCAGAGAGGGUGCGCAAAACUCAGUCUGAAAGUGCCAGGGCCCUUUAUGGUGAAAAUAAUUGAAAUAAUUUUUGCAAAUGGCUGGCGCUAUACAUAGUCAUUCGAUCAAUCGGAAAGCUGCCAGUGUUUCAUCUUCAGAUACUCGUUCGGUGCUUCAAUAUGUAAUUGAGCUUUCUUUCACUCACUCGUCGUUUUUCAUUCCGGAGAGACCAACAAGUACUUGGACUCUCGGACAUCUUCUUCAAAUUGAAAAGAGUCGCAAGGGACAUCUCUAUUGCUCCAGGCUUAAUAGAUUAAGAAAUAUCAUUUCAACAAACGUGUCGAUUCGAAAUGCAAUAUGGCACUAAAAUUCAGUGUAACCAACGUCGUUGUUCGCAUGCUUUUCUGCAAGCUUGCUUUUUUUUUUUGGUUUGUUCUUCUGCUGGGUGAGGAACAUCGUCUUGGAAGAUCCCGGUACUGGGUCCCCCCAUUGGAGAAUUGCUUGCAGCGUGCUAUAAGGCGCCAUGUUAGCGAAAUGUUUAUUAUCGGACAUGUCGAAAACAGGGACAUCAAAUACAACAUCUAAAGCUGCGUUAAUAAAUAUACUUUGGUAAUCGGAAUAAGCUUUGUUUGGUAAAUUCCACUUCUCGAAGCCCCAUAGCAUCCUGACUCUAGCGUCAUGUAUCGAUUACAGUAUAGGUCCUAUAGCCCUAUAAAAUAUAGAGAAUCAGCAAUAUUAACAGUAGAAAAUGACCAAAAGUGCUUUAUUAAUAAUCAUGUUUAAUACUUGAUGCAAAGAUUGCAGUAGCGACAAAUCGUGUUGAACCUUUACUUCAAUCGAUGUAUAUAUAUAUAUAUUAUAAAAAGUUAUAUUUCAUAUAUGUAACAGUGCCAACACCAACGACAGUGGGACGUCUUUCAAUGUUUUUUUCUCUAUCGCCGGCAUAUAAACGCGCAUCAGUAAUUUCGACGCUUUUUCUCACUAUCGCUCUAUAGGAGGUUUCGUAACACGUUUCAUGGUUCAAUAUCCUGUCUAUAUUGUUUCGUUAGAUGGCUGGCUAUUGUUUUUAAUUUCGUUUGUAGGUGCUUUUUAUGAGCUCGGCACAUGACGCUAUACUAUGUACACCGUCCUUCGCUGCUACACCGUUGCUUAACUUGAUGUGUACAAGAAGGGUACACCUUUUGUCUUGUCUUGUCUCGUCGACGUAUAAUCUAUCUAAUCAUGUCUAGCGCGCUUCCAUCCGAAGAAGGACUAGACUUUUUUACGACGGCUGGCUAUUUGAUUGUAGUUAUUUGUAAAUCGGGGGUGAAAGUUUGAAUGCGCGAGUUAGCAAAACACUUCGAGGGGUAGUGCGCGUGCAGAUGUGCGCCACCACGAUCGCUUCGACCUUAGCGUCGUCAUUUAUCGUUGUAAUUAUUUUAUAUCCAUUGGCUGCGAUUUGUGUUUGUCUCGAGGACCUUUACUCAUCAUCAUGAAGGUUUUCACGAGAUGAGAUAUGGGCACAUAUUUGGGUUUGUGUGGGUGUGUAUAUGUGUAGUUUAACUCGUCUAAGUUGAUGCCGACAAGAAAUGAUCGUCCUGAAGGAGUUCUUUAUAUGCCUAUGUCUACACGGGAGUAAUCCAGAGAUUGUGUAAAAUGAAACAGGGUCACGCUUUGCGGAUGCGGUCGUGGAUGAAGUGUGGUGAAAUUAUAUUGUUUAUGCUGUGCCCAUAUGUAAAUAAUGUGAUUGAUAUUAGGCUUGCAGUUUACUCGCAACCGCUUUUAUUAGAGAUGUAAAACAUGUGGGAACUCUAUCUGCGAAGACCGCAUUGAGACGUUUUUCGUAGGGGCGCAACCGUUUUCGCACGUCCCUUCGCGAGAACCCAGCUCAAAUUUGAGGACCAAGCACUGAAAAUUUAUAUUUUGAUUUGAUGCUGUAAAAUGUUUUGAGCCUUUUCGUACAUACCGCCCCAUCAAUUACGUCUGCUAUGUUUGUUUGUUUCUUAUUUUUUAGUCUCCUGUUUUCUUGGGCUGUUUGUUUGUUCUUAACGAGCCUGCAACUUACGCUCCAUUGUCGUAUAUAACAAUUUUUACGAGUGUCUUUCCCUUCUUCCCCUGUUAUCGCGUACCUCAUAAGUCGAUAUGGUAUUAGUUCGUUUUAAGUCAUUCAUAUAUAUAUAUAUAUAUAUAUAUAUAUAUAUAUACAUCAGUAAAAGACUUCGACUGUGAUUCGUAGUGUUUUAACAUUGUUAAAGGGCAGUUUUAGCUUUUUUGUAUGUACUUGAUCGAUUAUUAUGACUGAAUAUAUUUCAUUUAUUAUUUGUUGCUGUUUUACUAUGAGUAUUAUCUUCGGUCGUACUCAUUGUUAGGAUAAUUAGUUGUCAAUAUUAGUUAUUAAGCAGCUUUUUUGUAAAGUGUCGAUACGGGACGACCGCUAAGCUGAUAGACCGUGGGUGCAAUUUUUUCGUGUUUAUUUCUAAACGAAAUUAGUUAGCGUAGGUGUCGUGUUGUAAAGCGGCAUGUUCAGUACGACUCGAGAUAUUAUACAUGGGUCUUUGGGUCGGUAUUCCGACUUACCUGUGUAUCCAGUAAAUGAUGUGCUAAACACGUUUACUGGAUGCACCGGUACGUUAAAUCACAAUAAGCACAUUAAAAAUGUGCUUAUUGUGAUUUAACCCGCCGGCGACGUACAACAUCAUCACGAACGGCAAGAAGUAUAAACUUCUUCACCGUUUGUUUCAUCUGAUUUUUACUUGAACUAGUGCGAUCUAUAUAGCACGCGUAGCGGAUAGACCGCCGUGGCGUAUGUGAAAUUUCACUGAGUCACCGGUUGAGGCUAUGAACAUAUCUUGCGAGGGUUGGAUAAUAGCUGGUAAUCUAUUCGUGUGUAUAUGUGAGUCUUCUUGUUGCUGCUGUCUGCGUUCCCAUCAAUCAAUAAUCACCUCGUGUAUGCGAGGACCUGAAUGAUGAAGAUUAUUAUAAUUUUUAGUUGAACUUUUGUCAAUCCCUUCCUUACCUCUUGCCUACGUACAGAAAAUCCAGCACAAUUUACAACUGUGUAGUUAUUCUAUCUAUAUAUAGAUACGUGAUAUAUCUAUAUAUGUAUACCACCUAUCUGCUUUCAGUGGAUAAAGAUCGAAAGGUGUGUCCUCAGCUGUCGUUGUCGUGACACCGUGCCUGUCAUACAAUGGUGAAAUAAUUAGCCAUUGCAACAAAUCCUAGGGUAGGUAGUAGUAGUAGUAGUAGUAGUAGUAGUAAGAAUUGAUAUAAUAUGAAAAACGUGCGAUUCUAGCCAGCUAUCUUGAACAGUACCUAUGACCUGGUGUUUGUGAGCAGAAUUUUAUGGUGGGGUCAUAUGUUAUAAAUCAUUUCCAAAAAAACGCUGCAGCUACAUCUGUGUAGCUACUACGUACGUAUAGUAGUAUUAUAUGUCUGCAGUUACACUGUUCAAGGAAAAUGUAGAUAAUAGACUGAUACGUUUUUGUUCACCUCUUUCUUUUCGGUUAAAGUUUCAUUUGCUGGUGAGCGAACGUCAUAUACGGUCGGAGAGCUUUAAAAAGACCCCAAAUUUUACCCUGUACAAUGCAACAAUUUGAACAUUUCCAUGAGAUAAAAAUUUCCCUUAGAGGUAAAAUGACUACAUAGACUAGAAUCCAAUUUAGGGAAAAUCGGGAGACAAACAGAAAAAGCUUAAGCGGUAACUCAUAGAUAGGGGACACAAAAUAGAACAUUAAAAUAUAUAACCCGUGAUAAAAAUAUGAGACCCAAAUCGCGUUAUGUUUCAGUAGUCUUUUAGAGUUUUUCUGCGUUUUUUUUUCCCAACGAACCUCUAUAAAAACCGCUUCAGUGGAUUUUCUUCGUCGAUCUUUUUUUCUACUUAUUAACAUAUAUUGUUACGGAAUACUCCUUUUUUUUUCCUUUCUCCUUUUCGAAAAUGGGCUUUGCGCGACAAAACGACGGCAGCAGCCUCCGAAAAAAAAUCUCCCCAACGAAAAAUUAGAAGCAAGGAAUACGUAAGAACGGCUAAGGAAGUUGCAUCAACUAAAUGCAUUUCCGUUGACGGUUGCAAUAAUUAGAGCCACGUUUCAAAGCAUAACUCAAGUCUAAGUUGACUCCUAUAGAAUUUGCUGGUAAAAUCAGAUAGUCUGGCGGUUAUUUAGAAUCGAACAGCCACUUCAGUCCUAUAAUAAUGUCUAGUAUAACAGCUAUUAUAGGCUAUAGGUCACGAUAAGUUAUUAUAAUACGUUACUGGUAUUAAUUGAAGCAGUUCCCGUUCGUCAAAGGCGGCCUAUACUCCAAUAAUAAUGAACUUGUAUGAUUUGAUUGGUAAUUUUUGUUUUCUUCAUUGUCCGAAUAUGAUGAUCAUGACGAAGAUUAGUAAGUAUUGCUGCCUUUCAGGAUUAUUGCCGUACUUUAAUGCGUUCGAUGGGUCGUAACGUCACACAUUUACUUAGCUCGAUUACUACCGUUGUCAAUAUUUGUGGUAACUUGAACAACGAUCGUAAAUAAGUAAUUAUAUUAUUAUUGCUAUGAUAUUAUAUAUACAAGUGACAGAACGGUAACAAUGGCCAACGGUAUUCGGUACAUUGAGAGUUCGCUGUAUGAAAUAUGAAGGGGCUAUCUGGUUGCUGGAAAGCUGCUGGGGCGUAGUUGUCGAAGGGCCUCCUCCAUCUAUAAAAAGUAUCUUGCUGUUGAUGGCUAAUAUGCCCCCCGAAUGCUAGUGCAAUUAUUGGCGAUCGCAUAUAGAAACUCAUUACGUUGCUAUUGGCAUACUUAUGAAAUCAAUUACUGUUCAAAAACUGCAAUCGUGCUCAUCAACGUUCUUCUGUUAGCAAAGGGCGUUGUAAAAAAAAAAUCAGUUUUUUUCCCACGUCCCCUUGGCUAAUGUCUACAAAGAUAUGUCAGCGUAUAUAUAUAAUAGCUUUUUCAUUGUCAUAAUAUUUUGGUUUUAGUAAUAAGUUAUCGAUAGGCAUCUUCGUCAUCAUGACGAACUGUUUAGUAUGAUAGAACAACAGCGAUAAUGACAGUAACAAGUUUGCUCCAUAAAUUGGUCUGAGCUGAACCCGACGUAUCACUUAGGACUUUAUUGCCUUACAUUUAUGGUCGUUGCGAUCAGUUACUUUGAGCUGAUAUCCGAUCAAGCUUUAAUUAUCGGUAAUGUCUAUCAGAUAUCCUUAUUUGAUACUCAGCUAUUACCAUUAUCAGGCAAAGGAAAAUUUUAUUUAACUGGAAAGUCUGCACAGGUCUAUGCUGUAACGUUAUCGCCGGAUCGUCGCUCGUAAUAUCCUGUACGUGGCAUAAGUGAUGUUGCAUUUCUCUCUAUUCAAUUGACGGGGCAAAAAGGUAACAAUGGUUCCGUUGUAACGAAUCCUUUACAGCAUUUUCAUAUCGUCACUGUAUCUGUGCAUCUGCAUAACGCGGUCUCCUCGAGUGCCCGCUUUGAUUUUCCCAGGGUUAAUUCAUAUCAAGAAGUGCUAUGUUCCAUUACUGCUCCUUAGUUGUCCUCAAAAAUCUGUCGCCGCUACGACUCGUGGACCUCAACGAAAAUUCAAACUGACCACUGAGUAUAGGCCCGAUUGGUUGUAGUGUUGAGUUCAACUUUUUCCUCAGGAAAUAUCAAUGGCCUUGUCUUAAAAUUCCAACUUGCUCGCCGUAAUCGAUGAAAAGGAGCGAAAGAGGGGCUUCUGAUCUUCAGCCGUCACGUAUGCGCUAUUUGGCUGGGCAUGUGUGCGAUUGAUUCGAGUAGAUGAAUUAAGUAUGGAACUGGGCAUGUCUGCGUGUGGGCCGUUCGAAAUUAAAUGAAUGCUAACGCGCCAUCAGUUCGGCACUCACAACCAUCGAAUGAAAAAAAAAUGUGUUGCGAGGGUUAUUGG
rnacentral:lncRNA from 1 species